rnacentral:rRNA from 1 species
GGAAGUAAAAGUCGUAACAAGGUCUCCGUUGGUGAACCAGCGGAGGGAUCAUUACCGAGUUUACAACUCCCAAACCCAAUGUGAACGUUACCAAACUGUUGCCUCGGCGGGAUCUCUGCCCCGGGUGCGUCGCAGCCCCGGACCAAGGCGCCCGCCGGAGGACCAACCUGAAACUCUUAUUGUAUACCCCCUCGCGGGUUUUUUUUAUAAUCUGAGCCUUCUCGGCGCCUCUCGUAGGCGUUUCGAAAAUGAAUCAAAACUUUCAACAACGGAUCUCUUGGUUCUGGCAUCGAUGAAGAACGCAGCGAAAUGCGAUAAGUAAUGUGAAUUGCAGAAUUCAGUGAAUCAUCGAAUCUUUGAACGCACAUUGCGCCCGCCAGUAUUCUGGCGGGCAUGCCUGUCCGAGCGUCAUUUCAACCCUCGAACCCCUCCGGGGGGUCGGCGUUGGGGAUCGGCCCUCCCUUAGCGGGUGGCCGUCUCCGAAAUACAGUGGCGGUCUCGCCGCAGCCUCUCCUGCGCAGUAGUUUGCACACUCGCAUCGGGAGCGCGGCGCGUCCACAGCCGUUAAACACCCAACUUCUGAAAUGUGACCUCGGAUCAGGUAGGAAUACCCGCUGAACUAAGCAUAUCAAUAAGCGGAGGAAAAGAAACCAACAGGGAUUGCCCCAGUAACGGCGAGUGAAGCGGCAACAGCUCAAAUUUGAAAUCUGGUCCCUAGGGCCCGAGUUGUAAUUUGUAGAGGAUGCUUUUGGUGAGGUGCCGCCCGAGUUCCCUGGAACGGGACGCCACAGAGGGUGAGAGCCCCGUCUGGCUGGCCGCCGAGCCUCUGUAAAGCUCCUUCGACGAGUCGAGUAGUUUGGGAAUGCUGCUCAAAAUGGGAGGUAUAUGUCUUCUAAAGCUAAAUAUUGGCCAGAGACCGAUAGCGCACAAGUAGAGUGAUCGAAAGAUGAAAAGCACCUUGAAAAGAGGGUUAAAUAGUACGUGAAAUUGUUGAAAGGGAAGCGCUUGUGACCAGACUUGGGCGCGGCGGAUCAUCCGGGGUUCUCUCCGGUGCACUUCGCCGCGUCUAGGCCAGCAUCAGUUCGUCGCGGGGGAAAAAGGCUUCGGGAACGUGGCUCCUCCGGGAGUGUUAUAGCCCGUUGCAUAAUACCCUGCGGUGGACUGAGGACCGCGCAUCUGCAAGGAUGCUGGCGUAAUGGUCACCAGCGACCCGUCUUGAAACACGGACC